AUCCUUAUGCACGGGAAAUACGCAUAUCAGUGAGGAUUCGUCCGAGAUUGUGUUUUUGCUGGUUGAAAUUUAAUUAUAAACCAGACCGUCUCCUCAUGGUCAAUUCUGUGUUCGCUUUUGAACACUUCAGGACUAUGUAGGGAAUUUUUGGAAUACUUUUUUUUCGUUUACCGAUAUUCAUUCUUUCAAAGAAACUUUUCAUCUUUCUUUGGAAGU
rnacentral:snRNA from 1 species